UUUCUCUGUGCAGGUGGCGCCAUUUGUGGAGAAGCAUGCCCUUGCGCUGGGUCCCCAUGGUCGGGCAGCUCGGGUCUUGCUGCGCCUCCUCGAGGACAAACCGAGCCAGGAUAUUGAGCGUCGCCUGCUGCAGGUGUACCACUUGCUAGGAUGGGAGCACUGUAGUCGACAUCUGGAGCGCAGCUUGCUGGUCCGCUACCCGCCAUCCUACAGACUCUUCUGAACUCCUCUCCCUUUUUCUGUUGUCUCGUGGCACAUUCAAGCGAAUUAAAAAUGAUGAAAGAA